GCAGCAGNGAGGAAUUUUUCACAAUGGGCGAAAGCCUGAUGGAGCAAUACCACGUGAACGAUGAAGGUCUUCUGAUUGUAAAGUUCUUUUAUUUAGGAAAAAAAGCAGGAUAGGAAAUGAUUCUGUCGUGAUUGUACUAAUUGAAUAAGUGACAGCUAACUAUGUGCCAGCAGCUGCGGUAAAACAUAGGUCACGAGCAUUAUCCGGAUUUAUUGGGCGUAAAGGAAGCGUAGGUGGAGGAGUUGAUCCAUUGUCAAAAGCAUCUGCUUAACAGGUGUCCGCGAUGGAUAUCGCUUCUCUAGAAUUAGUUAGGGGGUACUGGAAUUCAAUGUGUAGCGGUGGAAUGCGUAGAUAUAUUGAGGAACACCAGAGGCUAAGGCGAGUACCUGGGACAUAAUUGACACUGAGGCUUGAAAGCGUGGGGAGCAAAUGGGAUUAGAUACCCCAGUAGUCCACGCCGUAAACGAUGGGUAUUAGGUAUUUGGUUUAAAACUGAGUGCUGUAGCUAACGCGUUAAAUACCCCGCCUGGGUAGUAUAUAUGCAAAUAUGAAACUCAAAGAAAUUGACGGGGACCUGAACAAGUGGUGGAGCAUGUUGCUUAAUUCGAUAAUACACGCAAAACCUUACCAAGGCUUGUAAUCUACUGCGAAACUAUAGAAAUAUAGUGGAGGGUAUCNNNAUGACAG
rnacentral:rRNA from 1 species